CAGGUAGCUUAACCUUCGGGAGGGCGCUUGCCACGGUGUGGCCGAUGACUGGGGUGAAGUCGUAACAAGGUAGCCGUAUCGGAAGGUGCGGCUGGAUCACCUCCU
rnacentral:rRNA from 1 species